rnacentral:misc_RNA from 1 species
UCACAGUUUGCACUGGCAGUCUUGUUAGAGUUCCCGACAUUACUCGCUGGCAACUAACAACAGGGGUUGCGCUCGUUAUAGGACUUAACCUGACACCUCACGGCACGAGCUGACGACAACCAUGCAGCACCUUGUAAUCUGCCCGAAGGAGGGGGUGUUUCCACCCCUGUCAGACUACAUUUAAGCCCUGGUAAGGUUCCUCGCGUAUCAUCGAAUUAAACCACAUGCUCCACCGCUUGUGCGGGCCCCCGUCAAUUCCUUUGAGUUUCAUUCUUGCGAACGUACUCCCCAGGUGGGUUACUUAUCACUUUCGCUUAACCACUCAGCCCUUAAUCGGGCCGAACAGCUAGUAACCAUCGUUUACGGCGUAGACUAC